GCUGGGGCCGGGGCCGGGGCCGGGGCCGGGGCCGCCCGUCCCAGCGCGGCCGCCCCGCAGGAGGCUGGCGCUGCGGUACCACCCCGACAAGAACCCCGACGACCCGGCGGCGGCCGAGCGCUUCAAGGAGAUCAACAGCGCCCACGCCACGCUGAGCGACGAGGACAAGCGGCGGCUCUACGACCAGUACGGCUCCCUGGGGCUCUACGUGGCCGAGCAGUUCGGCGACGAUGCCGUGCGGCACUACUUCCUCAUGUCCAAGUGGUGGUUCCAGGCCCUGGCCCUCUGCUGCGGCGCGCUCACCUGCUGCUGCUGCUGCUGCUGCUGCUUCUUCUGCUGCGGGACGUGCUGCCCGCCCAAGGAGGACGACUCCUACAAGUACGUCGACCCCAAGGACCUGGAGGCGCAGAUGGGCGCGGAGGACGGCGAUCCACAGAUCCCGGUUGUGGCGCAGCCCCCACCUGCCGGCGCACAGCCCCUGCCAUCUGUCAGCACCAAGACCGAGGCAUGAGGCUGGCCUCCAUCCUGCCGGCUCCCCAAGGACUCCAGACAGGGAUCCUACUUUGGGACUGUCACUUUCCAGGACCCCCGUCAUGCCACCCAGGGCUGCUCUCCAGCCUCAAGGUGGCUAGAAUCUCAGGUUAAAUUGGCCAGCAUCACUGCAGAGGUUCUUCUGCCCCUGCUCGAGCGCCAGGGCAAUGCUCCUGUCUCCCAGCACUGGUGACGGAGGCAACCCAGAGCCCUCGCUGCUGCACCCCAUCCGCAGUGCCUCAUCUGCUGCGGUGUUCCCAGCAGCCUGCCCAAGAAGUCACGCAUGGAGACCUCUUUGGGCCAGGCUCAACCCUGCAAGAAGUAGCUGUGUCCGAGACCGUUAGCACUGUAACCUCUGGGGCUGGGCUCAGCCCACUACCUGCCCUCACAGGGACCCUCCUGAUGGGUGCUGGGUGCCAAAUGCUGCUCGUGGGGUUGGGGUGCUGCCUGCUGUACCCCCUUCCUCUCUGCCCUGCUAUGGCUCCGGGGCGCUGGCUGCACCCCACUCCUGCUGCUAGCAGGCUCCCUGCAGGGCUGGGCCCCGUACAGGCACUUUCCUUGGGUUUUAAUAGAUUUUAUGGACACUAUUAAAGGACUUUAAAGGAUGACAGAAUGUGAGUGUGUUCGCGUGGUCUGUUCCAUCGGGGCAGCCUGAGAGCUGGCAGGAUGCACCUCUGCCUUGUGCCAGGGAGAGUGCUGGGUCCCGGGGGGGCAGGCAGGGAGGGGCGUGGGGUAGCACGUCCUGUCCCAAGCGCUGCUGGAGCGCUGCUCUCAUCCGGGUGACUCAGUCUCUCCUGUCACCUGCCCGGGGCUGCCUGUGGCAGCCGGCUCCCGCAGAGCUGUGCUUUUCCUGCCCUGCAGCCCCGUGCCCCACGCGGGCAGGUGGCCGGGUGCCUGGCCACGCUCCUGCCCUGGCUCUGGGGAGCAGUGGCUCUGCUGAGGGGGGGAGAGGGACGGGGGGGCCCGGGGGGCCCCCAACCCUCCCUUCACAGCCUGCAGCCCCCACCCGCAGCCGUGCGGGCCCUGCCUCACCCCCUAAAUAUAGCCGAGUGGCCAGGCCGCUCCUGGCACCGGCCUUGCUGGGCGCGCUGCCACGUCGGU
rnacentral:lncRNA from 1 species